UACGUAGGGACCGAGCGUUGUCCGGAAUUAUUGGGCGUAAAGAGCUCGUAGGCGGCUUGUCACGUCGAUUGUGAAAGCCCGAGGCUUAACCUCGGGUCUGCAGUCGAUACGGGCUAGCUAGAGUGUGGUAGGGGAGAUCGGAAUUCCUGGUGUAGUGGUGAAAUGCGUAGAUAUCGGGAGGAACACCAGUGGCGAAGGCGACUUCCUGGCCUGUCCUUGACGCUGAGGCGCGAAAGCUAGGGUAGCAAACGGG
rnacentral:rRNA from 1 species